rnacentral:rRNA from 1 species
UACGAAGGUGGCAAGCGUUACUCGGAUUUACUAGGCGUAAAGGGCAGGUAGGUGGUUUGAUAAGUCUGCUGUGUAAGCUCCCGGCUUAACUGGGAGAGGUCAGCGGAAACUGUCAGGCUUGAGUAUGGGAGAGGGUACUGGAAUUCCUGGUGUAGCGGUGAAAUGCGCAGAUAUCAGGAGGAACACCAAUGGCGAAAGCAGGUACCUGGACCAUUACUGACACUCAGCUGCGAAAGCUAGGGGAGCAAACAGG